AGUACUACGUUUUGUAUCGGACUCUGAAUCUGUAUCGCUGCUGUCGCUUGAAGUUUCCGAAUCGGACUCUGAGUCUGUGUCGCUGCUGUCGCUUGAACUCGAGCUACUCGAUAACCUGGUGUGCAUCUUUCGCCAUGCGAGGUGUGCAAACAUAGUGGCAAAUUGUUAUUGCUACACAUCAUUGACGUUGGAUUUGCAGAUUGAUGUUUAAAUAAUUCUUCAAAGAGAAGUGCAUUUUUAGUUAGUGUAUUACAUUAGCAUUUCUUAAAUGAACGUCCACAAUAUAUAUAAAUAUUCCAUUCAACCAUUAAGGUGUAAACGAUUAAGCCUUGUUAAGUAACAGAGUUAUUAAUAUUCAAAACAAUUCUAUUGAAAUACUUACACAUACUUUAAAGAAUGUUUAUCAUGAAUGUAGUAUAUAGUCUUUAGCCUUUAAAAUAAAAUUAUAAAACGUACAGACA